rnacentral:lncRNA from 1 species
GUAUGAUAUCUCGGACAGUGGCAGCAAUGUCUAGUGCUUCUGAUCUUUAAGAUCAAGCAGAGGAAAAAAGGAGGGUCUCCUAUCGGUUAAUUAAUUUACCGCUACUUCAAAUUCUAACUCUAUUCCUAGACCAGCAGCAGCACCUUGCCCAAUAAAGAGGAUGAGGGGGCCAAAGAAUAGGAACACAAAACUAAGGAUUCAUGUUUGUACUGCUUACUCUAUAUCAGAAAAAUAUUAAAUAAAACAUAAACGGUGCCUUUAGAUGCCAUCAAUACAAUUGAAACCUCCAGUAUCGACGAUAUCUGAUUUAUAUUUUUUAAUUCAAACUUUAUCCUAAGUAUGGAGUCUCUUCAACUCAGUAUUUGUAGUAUUAUAACCUUUUUUUAAAUGUACUAUAAUUAUCCGUUGUUAUCUGAUGAAUUGUAAUAUUCUAUCCAGGAUUUAAGUAAUUCUCCAUUAAAACGGAUUUAUUUGGAUUUACAUUUGUAUUUGAAUUGUUGUUAUUUGUAUAUAUAUAUUUACAUUUGUAUUUGAAUUGUUG